AUGAACGCUAGCUACAGGCUUAACACAUGCAAGUCGAGGGGCAGCAUGAACUUAGCUUGCUAAGUUUGAUGGCGACCGGCGCACGGGUGAGUAACACGUAUCCAACCUGCCGAUGACUCGGGGAUAGCCUUUCGAAAGAAAGAUUAAUACCCGAUGGCAUAGUUCUUCCGCAUGGUAGAACUAUUAAUGAAUUUCGGUCAUCGAUGGGGAUGCGUUCCAUUAGGUUGUUGGCGGGGUAACGGCCCACCAAGCCUUCGAUGGAUAGGGGUUCUGAGAGGAAGGUCCCCCACAUUGGAACUGAGACACGGUCCAAACUCCUACGGGAGGCAGCAGUGAGGAAUAUUGGUCAAUGGACGAGAGUCUGAACCAGCCAAGUAGCGUGAAGGAUGACUGCCCUAUGGGUUGUAAACUUCUUUUAUACGGGAAUAAAGUGAGGCACGUGUGCCUUUUUGUAUGUACCGUAUGAAUAAGGAUCGGCUAACUCCGUGCCAGCAGCCGCGGUAAUACGGAGGAUCCGAGCGUUAUCCGGAUUUAUUGGGUUUAAAGGGAGCGUAGGCGGACGCUUAAGUCAGUUGUGAAAGUUUGCGGCUCAACCGUAAAAUUGCAGUUGAUACUGGGUGUCUUGAGUACAGUAGAGGCAGGCGGAAUUCGUGGUGUAGCGGUGAAAUGCUUAGAUAUCACGAAGAACUCCGAUUGCGAAGGCAGCUUGCUGGACUGUAACUGACGCUGAUGCUCGAAAGUGUGGGUAUCAAACAGGAUUAGAUACCCUGGUAGUCCACACAGUAAACGAUGAAUACUCGCUGUUUGCGAUAUACAGUAAGCGGCCAAGCGAAAGCGUUAAGUAUUCCACCUGGGGAGUACGCCGGCAACGGUGAAACUCAAAGGAAUUGACGGGGGCCCGCACAAGCGGAGGAACAUGUGGUUUAAUUCGAUGAUACGCGAGGAACCUUACCCGGGCUUGAAUUGCAACUGAAUGAUGUGGAGACAUGUCAGCCGCAAGGCAGUUGUGAAGGUGCUGCAUGGUUGUCGUCAGCUCGUGCCGUGAGGUGUCGGCUUAAGUGCCAUAACGAGCGCAACCCUUAUCGAUAGUUACCAUCAGGUUAUGCUGGGGACUCUGUCGAGACUGCCGUCGUAAGAUGUGAGGAAGGUGGGGAUGACGUCAAAUCAGCACGGCCCUUACGUCCGGGGCUACACACGUGUUACAAUGGGGGGUACAGAAGGCAGCUACACGGCGACGUGAUGCUAAUCCCUAAAGCCUCUCUCAGUUCGGAUUGGAGUCUGCAACCCGACUCCAUGAAGCUGGAUUCGCUAGUAAUCGCGCAUCAGCCACGGCGCGGUGAAUACGUUCCCGGGCCUUGUACACACCGCCCGUCAAGCCAUGAAAGCCGGGGGUACCUGAAGUGCGUAACCGCAAGGAGCGCCCUAGGGUAAAACUGGUGAUUGGGGCU
rnacentral:rRNA from 1 species